GUGCUCACUUCAGCAGCACAUGUUCUGAAAUUGGAAUGAUACAGAGAAGAUUAGCAUGGCCCCUGUGCAGGGAUGACACAAAAAAAUGAAUAAAUAAAUAAAAUAAAA
rnacentral:snRNA from 1 species